rnacentral:rRNA from 1 species
AACGAACGCUGGCGGCAUGCCUAACACAUGCAAGUCGAACGAGACCUUCGUGUUUAUUGGCGCACGUGUGCGUAACGCGGGGGAAGCUGCCCUUAGGUUCGGUAUAACUCCCCGAAAGGUGUGUUAAUACCGGUUAAGGUCUUAGGACCAAAGAUUUAUCGCUUUUGGCUGGGGGCUGGUUGGUUUAGCGGGUUGGUAGGGUAAAAGCCGACCAACGCGACGAUCCAUAGCUGGUGUGAUAGGAUGACAAGUUAGAAUGGGAAUGCGACACGGCCCAGACCGCGACGGAAGGCAGCAGUGGGGAAUAUUGGAGGAGGGGCGAAAGCCUGAUAAAGCAAUGCCGCGUGAGUGAUGAAGCCCUUAGGGUUGUAAAGCUCUUUUACCCGGGAUGAUAAUGACAGUACCGGGAGAAUAAGCUCCGGCUAACUACGUG